UCAGGAAAUAGGGAGGACCGAGAGAAGGAGGAGAGAUGGGGAACAGCUCAUUGGUGGAGCAGUCAGAACACACACAACAUUGGUCGAUUAAGUUUCUCAUCUUCUAUGGGUGCAGUUCCUGGUACCCCCAAAACAAUUACACAGAACAGGGACCCAAAAGGGGGAAACAUACCUGGACCCACAGACUGCGUGAGAGAAAGCAGUCGGUGAUUUAUGAAGAGAUCAGCGACCCUGAGGAAGAUGACGAGUAACUCUCCUCAGGGAUAUGACACACGCCCAUGAUGAGAAGCAGAACGUGGUGACCUUUCAUGAUCAUGGGCAUGGCUGCGGACCCCUCGUCAUCAGGUGUAUAGGAAGUGAAAGCAAGUGUUUACAACAGUGAAAAGUUGAGCGUCAUUUUUCUUAGUGUGCCAAGACUUCGAUGUUAGCGUUUCCGUUGUAUUUUCUUGCAUUGUGCCAUUCUGUUAGAUAUUAGCAUUUUCAUUGAUGAGCAAGAUAUACUUAAUGCGUUUUUCCGUUUGUGUAUCCAUGCACCCACCUCAGAAAACAAGUAUAGUCAGGUAUUCUCUCCAUAGAACAGAACUACCCUCCUUUCUCCUCAGAUGUGACUACUGAAGUCAGGUCUGAGUGUUUAAUUUCCGAUUUUCUCCUCUGCAUUUACACCACACACACACACACACACACACGCACGCACGCACACACACCAAGUACCACUAUAAGCAUCUCCCAUCUGCUUUUCUCCAUUGCCAUGCAUCCUGCUCAAGCCCCCUUCACUCGGUUUCCUGUUCAGCAUGUACUCCCCUCAUCCAAUUCCCCUCUAUCAGUCAUUGACAAUUAAUAAACAUUUGCAAACGUUC